rnacentral:rRNA from 1 species
AGUGAACGCUGGCGGUAGACCUAACACAUGCAAGUCGAACGGCAGCACAGUAAGAGCUUGCUCUUACGGGUGGCGAGUGGCGGACGGGUGAGGAAUACAUCGGAAUCUACUUUUUCGUGGGGGAUAACGUAGGGAAACUUACGCUAAUACCGCAUACGACCUACGGGUGAAAGCAGGGGAUCUUCGGACCUUGCGCGAUUGAAUGAGCCGAUGUCGGAUUAGCUAGUUGGCGGGGUAAAGGCCCACCAAGGCGACGAUCCGUAGCUGGUCUGAGAGGAUGAUCAGCCACCCUCGAACUGAGACACGGUCCAGACUCCUACGGGAGGCAGCAGUGGGGAAUAUUGGACAAAGGGCGCAAGCCUGAUCCAGCCAUACCGCGUGGGUGAAGAAGGCCUUCGGGUUGUAAAGCCCUUUUGUUGGGAAAGAAAAGCAGCAGGUUAAUACCCCGCUGUUCUGACGGUACCCAAAGAAUAAGCACCGGCUAACUUCGUG